rnacentral:rRNA from 1 species
GACGAACGCUGGCGGCGUGCUUAACACAUGCAAGUCGAACGGAAAGGCCCUGCUUUUGUGGGGUGCUCGAGUGGCGAACGGGUGAGUAACACGUGAGUAACCUGCCCUUGACUUUGGGAUAACUUCAGGAAACUGGGGCUAAUACCGGAUAGGAGCUCCUGCUGCAUGGUGGGGGUUGGAAAGUUUCGGCGGUUGGGGAUGGACUCGCGGCUUAUCAGCUUGUUGGUGGGGUAGUGGCUUACCAAGGCUUUGACGGGUCGCCGGCCUGAGAGGGUGAACGGCCACAUUGGGACUGAGAUACGGCCCAGACUGCUACGGGAGGCAGCAGUGGGGAAUAUUGCACAAUGGGCGGAAGCCUGAUGCAGCAACGCCGCGUGCGGGAUGACGGCCUUCGGGUUGUAAACCGCUUUCGCCUGUGACGAAGCGUGAGUGACGGUAAUGGGUAAAGAAGCACCGGCUAACUACGUG